GGCAUAUCGAGUGUAGGCACGCCAUCCGCACCGGAUACUGGUACGGUAUGGUACAUCCUAUACAGUCCGGUUCGGGCCGGUACAGUGUACCAUGGAUAAGAUAGUAAGUGGCUGUCAUCAUUGGAGGUGCAAGUGGUAUUCAUUUGAGUGGAGAGGGAUGGGAUCAUCAUGUUGAAUGAACACUUGGUUGGUGGAUAUCCUGAUGUUAUGGCUUGCAAUGUCCCCAAAGGUUAGUCAGCUUUUCAGACAUGCUUUUCGAGACUUCAUAAAUGGGAAAAGGUCACAAGUAAAUAGGCCAAGUUGGAUAGGAGGGCAACAGGGCCGCCGUUCUGUCACUGCAUAGAUCCAGCAGAUUAUGAGGUCUCCAACCCAAAUGAUAUGGAGAAUGCCCAAAUUCGGGCUGCCAUCUGGGCCAGUGGGGAGGAGCAAUAGGGGAUGGAUGAGAUCAACAAGCACAUAACUAAAUUUGGACCCCCAUAGUUUGAAGGGAGGACCCAGUCAGUCAGAGUACCAUGUGCUAGCUAGCUAGAUGGCAUCCAUGAUUGGGACCUUCAAUGGUAGGAAAGGUAAGAAGAGUAGGGGUGUGCCAACAUCUGGGGUGACAAUUGUAGAUUUGGAUCCACAUGCCUUCUCGAGUAGAAAUAGAAAGCAACAACGAACUGAUAACAUGUUGAAGGACAAAAAGAAGGAUGUGUGGAGGGCUAUUGAAAGUGGUUCAACUUUAGCCACAUCUUAGCAAAUGCCAUAUACGACGCCUACUAUUGCAACAUGAUUGAUGCCAUCUAAAAGGCCAGUCAGGGUGUUGAUCUGCUUGGUCUGAGGGACAUAAGGUGAGUUACUUGACGAGAAUAGAAAUGAAUUGGAGGCAUAGAUAGCAUUCUGCAAGAGCGAGUGACCCACAUACGGAUUGACAUUAAUGUGUGAUGGCCCCAUUCGACCAGGUGAAGCAAUUAACUUCCUUACAUAUUGUGACUAAAUCAUUCUUCCACAAGUUAAUACUUCAGAUAGUGUGCACGACAGUGACUACAUCCUUAACUUGAUCGAGGAGGUUACUGAUAGCAUAUGGGAGUAGCAUGUCAUGCAAGUGGUGACUGAUCUUGCUGCACAAUAUAGAAGGGUUGGUGAGCUACGAGAUUAUUUUUCCCCUACAAAAUUGGGGAGAUUGAGUGAAUCACAAUUACUAAGUGCAUGUGGCCUAUCUAAAAGCCUCAGCAUGUCUGCAACUAGUGACAGACAUUCAAUUUUUAUCUGAUCGUUGAAGUUAUUUCGAUGCUUUUCUUUUAUCAAUCUUUUCUAGUUCUUGGAUAUUACAUGCAAGGAUGUUCCCCACUUUUGCUUUUCUAGCUUCCUUUCACGUGUUGUAGUACUUCCUGGCUGUUUUGUUUGGACUUGAUCUUGGUUAUUUUGGUUUUUGGCCCAUUGAUGCAUCUCAUCUUUAACCUCCAAGUGCAAUUAAAUAUUUUCAGUGCUAAUUUCCCCACCUUCAGUAUGUUUACUUCAAAUGACUGCACUCACAAACUACAUUUCUGAACCAACCCAACAUAAAUUGAGGGAAAACAGCGGACUUUCUACCAAUUCCAGACACGGAGUUAGAAUAUUUUAUGUGUCGGAAAAAGUUGACCCCUGAUAGUGAAAAGUUCUAGAUUCCUUUCUUCUCCUAAGUGUGAUAUGUAAGCAAUAAUUGGAAAUUCUUACCAUUAAUCUUUCCUACUGAAGGCGGCUUUAGCAACUUCAAGCUUUUUAGAAUCCAUUUUCUCAGCUUUCCUCCAUUUUAGCUCAAGGUUUCACCCUCCUUUUUCAUGGUUCUUUGGGACAUGGCUUCAUGUCUUUAUUGUGCAUCCUCAUACCAACUUAAUCAAAUAAUAUUUGUGGUGCAGUUUGUUUGAAUUUUCUUUUUUAUAUACAAGUUUCUUUUAUGAUAAUGUGGACCAGUAACUUUAUGAUACCAUAGUGUAAAAGCUUAAAAAUUGUCAGAAUGUGAGGCAGGAAGGUUGACUUUGGAAAGACCUGUAAUCCACUUUAGAGGAAGACAGAAUUUAGUUACAUUGCAAACGUUUUUGAUAGUUGACUAUUUUAAACAAGGGGACUUCCAGCAAACACGGGCAUUUAAUGAGCAAAUAUCAUAACUUCCACAUCUAGGUGAAUGAAAAUGGUGGUGAAGAUUGCUACCCAGGAAGCCAACAUUGAGGUGGCUCAUAAUUAAUGAUCUAUUGAGUUUUGUUAUAGGUACUGAACCAUCAAGUAGACAGUUUAUUCCAGGUGUUUCUGUUGAUCUUCUUUUAUUUUUAAUUUUAAUUCCAGUUUUUACUUUUAACUGACUGAAAGAAGCAACUAUGAAGCUAGGCAAUGUUUGGCAGGAGGAACCUAUAAUGAUACACUUUUCAGGCGGUUGUUCUCAGUACCAAUGACGUUUUCUACUUCUUCAUCUGUUGGAAAGACGUAAUUGGGCUUUGGAACUUUUGUGAAAUGCAGGUCAUGCAGUAUGUGGUUGGUAUAUAUUUUUAGUGGACUUUGGGGUUUUUUGUUGAGCUUCCAAAUAGAAGGAAUAAUUCUAUAAACCUAUAGUUUUUCUUUUUCUUUUGUCGAAUCCCUUUACUUGUCAAGAGAUGUAUGACACUAGUGUAGCGAGAAUAGCUGAACCACAUGGAAAAAAACAUUUGUCUAGCCAUGUAGAUCAUGACAGGAGACCUGUUUAGGGGUGACCGCUACAGUUUCCUGGAGGGUGAUGAAUAGCAGAUCUAUCGCCAGUCAAAGAAAGUGGAGAAAUAGUGCUUUUGA